UACGGGGGGGGCAAGCGUUGUUCGGAAUUACUGGGCGUAAAGGGCUCGUAGGCGGCCAACUAAGUCAGACGUGAAAUCCCUCGGCUUAACCGGGGAACUGCAUCUGAUACUGGAUGGCUUGAGUUCGGGAGAGGGAUGCGGAAUUCCAGGUGUAGCGGUGAAAUGCGUAGAUAUCUGGAGGAACACCGGUGGCGAAGGCGGCCAUCUGGGACAACACUGACGCUGAAGCACGAAAGCGUGGGGAGCAAACAGG
rnacentral:rRNA from 1 species